rnacentral:rRNA from 1 species
CCUACGGGAGGCAGCAGUGAGGAAUAUUGGUCAAUGGGCGCUAGCCUGAACCAGCCAAGUAGCGUGAAGGAUGACUGCCCUAUGGGUUGUAAACUUCUUUUAUAUGGGAAUAAAGUGCAGUAUGUAUACUGCUUUGCAUGUACCUUAUGAAUAAGGAUCGGCUAACUCCGUGCCAGCAGCCGCGGUAAUACGGAGGAUCCGAGCGUUAUCCGGAUUUAUUGGGUUUAAAGGGAUAGUAGGCGGGUGGUUAAGUCAGUUGUGAAAGUCUGCGGCUCAACCGUAAAAUUGCAGUUGAUACUGGCAUCCUUGAGUACAGUAGAGGUAGGCGGAAUUCGUGGUGUAGCGGUGAAAUGCUUAGAUAUCACGAAGAACUCCGAUUGCGAAGGCAGCCUGCUGGACUGUAACUGACGCUGAUGCUCGAAAGUGUGGGUAGCAAACAGGAUUAGAUACCCCAGUAGUC